rnacentral:tRNA from 1 species
GGAGGGGUGGCCGAGUGGACGAAGGCGACGGUCUUGAAAACCGUUGUGGCGCAAGUCACCGUGGGUUCGAAUCCCACCCCCUCCG